AUAUAAAUAACGUCAAAAACGGAGUUCGUAUGAGCGAGUUACAAAUUAUAGUAGUAUAUUUACGUAUUAAAAUAAAGUAUAAAUCAUGUAUACGUACACAUAUAUAUACAUAUGUAUAUAUCAUUAGAAAGGUAUCGACGAUGCGGUUAUUAUAAAACUAAUGUUGAGUUCUUUCGACAUUAGUUUAGUACAAAGAUCAUUAAAUCCAUUUAAAAUAGUAUUAUAGAGGGGUGUUUAGUUGUUUAUAUAACUAAAAGGUCAUUAAGUAAUUAUGGAGGGUAGUUUUUGAAAAUUCAAUUAGUAUAAAUAAGAGCCUUGGGCUCUCAUAUUUCUUGCACCAUUCUCUUGAUUCAAGAGUCUUUCUCUCCUUAUCCCCCGAGCAUUUCGGUCCCUCGUGAUUCGACUUCUCUUUCUGUAGUUUUAGUAUAGUAAGGUGAGCGCUGAAGCGCUGCACGAAUCUUUCUUAGAAAGAUUCAGCGACGAAGUUCUGCCCCUGCAGAGCCCGACUCCUAGCUAAAAUCCCCUUGAAAGUUUCGUCAAAGGAAAUUAUUUUAAAGUAAACGAAGCGCUGUCCGAGUACCGAGUCACCACCUUCUCAGGUGUUGAUAUGAAGUCACAAUACACUGAGAGAUUUAAAGAGAUGUAGAUCACUAGUGUAAAUAAUUGUAAGUUCUGUUUAUGCUUAUGUUUCUGUAUUAACGAUGACAUCCCAAACGUUUUAAAAUGAAAUAAAUACGUUUCAUCGAAAAUGUUUUAAUAACGUAUUUACCAUGUUUUUCUGGGAACAAAUUCCGCAACAUUUUUAUAAAAUGAAGUACUCUGAUUUUUAUAAAGCAUAAACAAAAUCGGUCUUUUCUGGCCGUGAAAAUGGGGA